rnacentral:rRNA from 1 species
GGAAACCCUGAUCCAGCAAUGCCGCGUGAGUGAAGAAGGCCUUCGGGUUGUAAAGCUCUUUUGUCAGGGAGGAAACGGUAGAUUCUAAUACAAUCUAUUAAUGACAGUACCUGAAGAAUAGGCACCGGCUAACUACGUGCCAGCAGCCGCGGUAAUACGUAGGGUGCAAGCGUUAAUCGGAAUUACUGGGCGUAAAGCGUGCGCAGGCGGCUAUGUAAGACAGAUGUGAAAUCCCUGGGCUCAACCUAGGAACUGCAUUUGUGACUACAUGACUAGAGUGUGUCAUAUUUUAUGUAUAAUUCCA